UUGUCACGGGUGUGACUAGGAUGUU
rnacentral:piRNA from 1 species